rnacentral:rRNA from 1 species
GGGUUGUGAGGUUAAGCGACUAAGCGUACACGGUGGAUGCCCCGGCAGUCAGAGGCGAUGAAGGACGUGCUAAUCUGCGAUAAGCGUCGGUAAGGUGAUAUGAACCGUUAUAACCGGCGAUUUCCGAAUGGGGAAACCCAGUGUGAUUCGUCACACUAUCAUUAACUGAAUCCAUAGGUUAAUGAGGCGAACCGGGGGAACUGAAACAUCUAAGUACCCCGAGGAAAAGAAAUCAACCGAGAUUCCCCCAGUAGCGGCGAGCGAACGGGGAGCAGCCCAGAGCCUGAAUCAGUGUGUGUGUUAGUGGAAGCGUCUGGAAAGGCGCGCGAUACAGGGUGACAGCCCCGUACACAAAAAUGCACAUGCUGUGAGCUCGAUGAGUAGGGCGGGACACGUGGUAUCCUGUCUGAAUAUGGGGGACCAUCCUCCAAGGCUAAAUACUCCUGACUGACCGAUAGUGAACCAGUACCGUGAGGGAAAGGCGAAAAGAACCCCGGCGAGGGGAGUGAAAAAGAACCUGAAACCGUGUACGUACAAGCAGUGGGAGCCUCUUUAUGGGGUGACUGCGUACCUUUUGUAUAAUGGGUCAGCGACUUAUAUUCUGUAGCAAGGUUAACCGAAUAGGGGAGCCGAAGGGAAACCGAGUCUUAACUGGGCGUUAAGUUGCAGGGUAUAGACCCGAAACCCGGUGAUCUAGCCAUGGGCAGGUUGAAGGUUGGGUAACACUAACUGGAGGACCGAACCGACUAAUGUUGAAAAAUUAGCGGAUGACUUGUGGCUGGGGGUGAAAGGCCAAUCAAACCGGGAGAUAGCUGGUUCUCCCCGAAAGCUAUUUAGGUAGCGCCUCGUGAAUUCAUCUCCGGGGGUAGAGCACUGUUUCGGCAAGGGGGUCAUCCCGACUUACCAACCCGAUGCAAACUGCGAAUACCGGAGAAUGUUAUCACGGGAGACACACGGCGGGUGCUAACGUCCGUCGUGAAGAGGGAAACAACCCAGACCGCCAGCUAAGGUCCCAAAGUCAUGGUUAAGUGGGAAACGAUGUGGGAAGGCCCAGACAGCCAGGAUGUUGGCUUAGAAGCAGCCAUCAUUUAAAGAAAGCGUAAUAGCUCACUGGUCGAGUCGGCCUGCGCGGAAGAUGUAACGGGGCUAAACCAUGCACCGAAGCUGCGGCAGCGACGCUUAUGCGUUGUUGGGUAGGGGAGCGUUCUGUAAGCCUGCGAAGGUGUACUGUGAGGUAUGCUGGAGGUAUCAGAAGUGCGAAUGCUGACAUAAGUAACGAUAAAGCGGGUGAAAAGCCCGCUCGCCGGAAGACCAAGGGUUCCUGUCCAACGUUAAUCGGGGCAGGGUGAGUCGACCCCUAAGGCGAGGCCGAAAGGCGUAGUCGAUGGGAAACAGGUUAAUAUUCCUGUACUUGGUGUUACUGCGAAGGGGGGACGGAGAAGGCUAUGUUGGCCGGGCGACGGUUGUCCCGGUUUAAGCGUGUAGGCUGGUUUUCCGUGCAAAUCCGGAAAAUCAAGGCUGAGGCGUGAUGACGAGGCACUACGGUGCUGAAGCAACAAAUGCCCUGCUUCCGUGAAAAGCCUCUAAGCAUCAGGUAACAUCAAAUCGUACCCCAAACCGACACAGGUGGUCAGGUAGAGAAUACCAAGGCGCUUGAGAGAACUCGGGUGAAGGAACUAGGCAAAAUGGUGCCGUAACUUCGGGAGAAGGCACGCUGAUACGUAGGUGAAGCGACUUGCUCGUGGAGCUGAAAUCAGUCGAAGAUACCAGCUGGCUGCAACUGUUUAUUAAAAACACAGCACUGUGCAAACACGAAAGUGGACGUAUACGGUGUGACGCCUGCCCGGUGCCGGAAGGUUAAUUGAUGGGGUUAGCGGUAACGCGAAGCUCUUGAUCGAAGCCCCGGUAAACGGCGGCCGUAACUAUAACGGUCCUAAGGUAGCGAAAUUCCUUGUCGGGUAAGUUCCGACCUGCACGAAUGGCGUAAUGAUGGCCGGCUGUCUCCACCCGAGACUCAGUGAAAUUGAACUCGCUGUGAAGAUGCAGUGUACCCGCGGCAAGACGGAAAGACCCCGUGAACCUUUACUAUAGCUUGACACUGAACAUUGAGCCUUGAUGUGUAGGAUAGGUGGGAGGCUUUGAAGUGUGGACGCCAGUCUGCAUGGAGCCGACCUUGAAAUACCACCCUUUAAUGUUUGAUGUUCUAACGUUGGCCCCUAAUCGGGGUUGCGGACAGUGUCUGGUGGGUAGUUUGACUGGGGCGGUCUCCUCCUAAAGAGUAACGGAGGAGCACGAAGGUUGGCUAAUCCUGGUCGGACAUCAGGAGGUUAGUGCAAUGGCAUAAGCCAGCUUGACUGCGAGCGUGACGGCGCGAGCAGGUGCGAAAGCAGGUCAUAGUGAUCCGGUGGUUCUGAAUGGAAGGGCCAUCGCUCAACGGAUAAAAGGUACUCCGGGGAUAACAGGCUGAUACCGCCCAAGAGUUCAUAUCGACGGCGGUGUUUGGCACCUCGAUGUCGGCUCAUCACAUCCUGGGGCUGAAGUAGGUCCCAAGGGUAUGGCUGUUCGCCAUUUAAAGUGGUACGCGAGCUGGGUUUAGAACGUCGUGAGACAGUUCGGUCCCUAUCUGCCGUGGGCGCUGGAGAACUGAGGGGGCUGCUCCUAGUACGAGAGGACCGGAGUGGACGCAUCACUGGUGUUCGGGUUGUCAUGCCAAUGGCACUGCCCGGUAGCUAAAUGCGGAAGAGAUAAGUGCUGAAAGCAUCUAAGCACGAAACUUGCCCCGAGAUGAGUUCUCCCUGACUCCCUGAGAGUCCUGAAGGAACGUUGAAGACGACGACGUUGAUAGGCCGGGUGUGUAAGCGCAGCGAUGCGUUGAGCUAACCGGUACUAAUGAACCGUGAGGCUUAACCUUACAACGCCGAAG